rnacentral:rRNA from 1 species
AACGAACGCUGGCGGCAUGCCUAACACAUGCAAGUCGAACGAGACCUUCGGGUCUAGUGGCGCACGGGUGCGUAACGCGUGGGAACCUGCCCUUAGGUUCGGAAUAACUCCCCGAAAGGGGUGCUAAUACCGGAUAAUGUCUUCGGACCAAGAUUUAUCGCCUUUGGAUGGGCCCGCGUUGGAUUAGCUAGUUGGUAGGGUAAAAGCCUACCAAGGCGACGAUCCAUAGCUGGUCUGAGAGGAUGAUCAGCCACACUGGGACUGAGACACGGCCCAGACUCCUACGGGAGGCAGCAGUGGGGAAUAUUGGACAAUGGGCGAAAGCCUGAUCCAGCAAUGCCGCGUGAGUUAUGAAGGCCUUAGGGUUGUAAAGCUCUUUUACCCGGGAUGAUAAUGACAGUACCGGGAGAAUAAGCUCCGGCUAACUCCGUG